ACUGAAUGGAGGACCGAACCGACUUACGUUGAAAAGUGAGCGGAUGAACUGAGGGUAGCGGAGAAAUUCCAAUCGAACCUGGAGAUAGCUGGUUCUCUCCGAAAUAGCUUUAGGGCUAGCCUCAAGUGAUGAUUAUUGGAGGUAGAGCACUGUUUGGACGAGGGGCCCCUCUCGGGUUACCGAAUUCAGACAAACUCCGAAUGCCAAUUAAUUUAACUUGGGAGUCAGAACAUGGGUGAUAAGGUCCGUGUUCGAAAGGGAAACAGCCCAGACCACCAGCUAAGGUCCCAAAAUAUAUGUUAAGUGGAAAAGGAUGUGGCGUUGCCCAGACAACUAGGAUGUUGGCUUAGAAGCAGCCAUCAUUUAAAGAGUGCGUAAUAGCUCACUAGUCGAGUGACACUGCGCCGAAAAUGUACCGGGGCUAAACAUAUUACCGAAGCUGUGGAUUGUCCUUUGGACAAUGGUAGGAGAGCGUUCUAAGGGCGUUGAAGCAUGAUCGUAAGGACAUGUGGAGCGCUUAGAAGUGAGAAUGCCGGUGUGAGUAGCGAAAGACGGGUGAGAAUCCCGUCCACCGAUUGACUAAGGUUUCCAGAGGAAGGCUCGUCCGCUCUGGGUUAGUCGGGUCCUAAGCUGAGGCCGACAGGCGUAGGCGAUGGAUAACAGGUUGAUAUUCCUGUACCACCUAUA
rnacentral:rRNA from 1 species